GACGAACGCUGGCGGCGUGCUUAACACAUGCAAGUCGAACGGAAAGGCCCUGCUUUUGUGGGGUGCUCGAGUGGCGAACGGGUGAGUAACACGUGAGUAACCUGCCCUUGACUUUGGGAUAACUUCAGGAAACUGGGGCUAAUACCGGAUAGGAGCUCCUGCUGCAUGGUGGGGGUUGGAAAGUUUCGGCGGUUGGGGAUGGACUCGCGGCUUAUCAGCUUGUUGGUGGGGUAGUGGCUUACCAAGGCUUUGACGGGUAGCCGGCCUGAGAGGGUGACCGGCCACAUUGGGACUGGGAUACGGCCCAGACUCCUACGGGAGGCAGCAGUGGGGAAUAUUGCACAAUGGGCGGAAGCCUGAUGCAGCAACGCCGCGUGCGGGAGGACGGCCUUCGGGUGUAAACCGCUUUCGCCUGUGACGAAGCGUGAGUGACGGUAAUGGGUAAAGAAGCACCGGCUAACUACGUG
rnacentral:rRNA from 1 species